UACCCUUGACAUGUAUAGAAUUCUGAUGAGAGAUGAAUGUGCUCGAAAGAGAGCUAUAACAC
rnacentral:rRNA from 1 species